AAGUGGAGCAAUCCAUGAGUAAAGUGGCGUACGGGUGAGUAACACGUGGAUCAUCUACCUUUUAGUGGGGAAUACCCCCGGGAAACUGGGGACAAUACCGCAUAAGCUCGAGAGAGGAAAGCAGCAAUGCGCUGAAAGAGGAGUCCGCGGCUGAUUAGCUAGAUGGCGGGGUAACGGCCCACCAUGGCGACGAUCGGUAGCCGGCCUGAGAGGGCACACGGCCACACUGGCACUGAGACACGGGCCAGACUCCUACGGGAGGCAGCAGUGGGGAAUCUUGCACAAUGGGGGAAACCCUGAUGCAGCGACGCCGCGUGAGCGAUGAAGCCCUUCGGG
rnacentral:rRNA from 1 species